rnacentral:tRNA from 1 species
GCUACUUUGGGCAAGGCCCGCUGCCCUCCGAGGGCAGAGGUCACAGGUUCGAAUCCUGUCGGGUGCGCCA